UACGUGGGGUGCGAGCGUUGUCCGGAUUCAUUGGGCGUAAAGGGUGCGUAGGCGGCGCGGUAAGUCGGGUGUGAAAACUUUGGGCUUAACCCAAAGCGUGCAUCCGAUACUGCUGUGACUUGAGUUCGGUAGGGGAGUGGGGAAUUCCUAGUGUAGCGGUGAAAUGCACAGAUAUUAGGAGGAACACCGGUGGCGAAGGCGCCACUCUGGGCCGAAACUGACGCUGAGGAGCGAAAGCGUGGGGAGCAAACAGG
rnacentral:rRNA from 1 species